rnacentral:tRNA from 1 species
GGCUUGGUAGCUUAGUUGGUUAAGCGCUCGUCUAGCAUACAAGAGUUCUGGGUUCAAAUCCCAGCCGAGCAC